GGCCCUUAUAGUUCCGGUUGUGGCGCCCGGGCGGAAAGUUGAAGCGGACGGACUGUGGCCGGCGAUGGGCUUGGGGUCGUUCUGGUGACGGACGGCUGUCUCGGCAUUGGUAGAGGGUCCCUGCGACAUUCCCUAGCGACACACAAUCAAAGGAGCGACAGCAACAGGUUCCCGCUGCCUUUCCCUUUCACGUCUAAGUUAUACAUCAUGUGCAUGGCAAACCUGGAAGAGCUUCAGAGCACCGAUUCCCUGGAAUGCCUUGAACGUCUCAUAGACCUCAACAACGGUGAAGGGCAAAUUUUUACUAUUGAUGGCCCCCUGUGCUUGAAAAACGUGCAGUCUAUGUUUGGUCAUGAUCAUCUUCUAGAAAGCUGAUAGACCUGGCAUAUACGCCUUUCCAUGCUGUGCUCAAGUGUGGCCACCUGACCGCUGAC